GCUCCUGAAGCUUUGACGGUGAAGCAGUGGGUUUUUACCCCACUAAAGAGGGUUCGAUUCCCUACGGGAGUACCA
rnacentral:tRNA from 1 species